rnacentral:rRNA from 1 species
GACGAACGCUGGCGGCGUGCCUAAUACAUGCAAGUCGAACGAGAGCGACCGGUGCUUGCACUGGUCAAUCUAGUGGCGAACGGGUGAGUAACACGUGGGUAACCUGCCCAUCAGAGGGGGAUAACAUUCGGAAACGGAUGCUAAAACCGCAUAGGUCUUCGAACCGCAUGGUUUGAAGAGGAAAAGAGGCGCAAGCUUCUGCUGAUGGAUGGACCCGCGGUGCAUUAGCUAGUUGGUGAGGUAACGGCUCACCAAGGCCGCGAUGCAUAGCCGACCUGAGAGGGUGAUCGGCCACAUUGGAACUGAGACACGGCCCAAACUCCUACGGGAGGCAGCAGUAGGGAAUCUUCCGCAAUGGACGCAAGUCUGACGGAGCAACGCCGCGUGAGUGAAGAAGGUUUUCGGAUCGUAAAACUCUGUUGUUAGAGAGGAAUAAGUGCUAGAGUAACUGUUAGCGCCUUGACGGUAUCUAACCAGAAAGCCACGGCUAACUACGUG